CCCACACUGCAUUGUGACCUGCCCACCUUACUCCACCCAGAGGAAGGAGGAUGCAGUCCUAUUGGACAGCUGGGCAGGGGAGCAGGUGAUAUAGUCAGGCUUGGGGAGAGAGGGAAAGGAGUAGCCUAGCUGCAGCUCCCUCCUGCUUUCCAGUUAGGAACUGUGAUAAACUGUGCUGCAAGAUUGGGGGCACUGGAUCCUUGGCAUGUAUGCCCACUGAGAGAUCUCUGCAUGCCAUCUCUGGCACACAUGCCAUAGACUUGCAUCACAGGCGUAGUGCUUGCCUUCCUUCUGUUUUAGAAAUGAUGGCAGGAAGAUGGUGAUGGAAGGAAUCAAGGGCAUAUCAUGCAGAGGAUAAGCAGAGGGAAGACAGCUUGGAGGAUUCUCUCUCUCCCCCAGAAGAUGGUGAUGGAGGGAAUCAAGGGCAUAUUAUGCAGAGGAUAAGCAGAGGGAAGACAGCUUGGAGGAUUCUCUCCCCCAGAAGGUGGGGAUGGGCACAGAAUGUAUCCAAGUCACAGGACUGAAUCCUGAGUGAGCUGAGCCUUGGGGCUGGACCAAGGA
rnacentral:lncRNA from 1 species